rnacentral:misc_RNA from 1 species
UACGGAGGGGGCUAGCGUUGUUCGGAAUUACUGGGCGUAAAGCGCGCGUAGGCGGCUUUCCAAGUCAGGGGUGAAAUCCCGGGGCUCAACUCCGGAACUGCCCUUGAAACUGGAUCGCUAGAAUCUUGGAGAGGUGAGUGGAAUUCCGAGUGAAGAGGUGAAAUUCGUAGAUAUUCGGAAGAACACCAGUGGCGAAGGCGACUCACUGGACAAGUAUUGACGUUGAGGUGCGAAAGCGUGGGGAGCAAACAGG